rnacentral:rRNA from 1 species
CCUACGGGUGGCAGCAGUGAGGAAUAUUGGUCAAUGGACGAGAGUCUGAACCAGCCAAGCAGCGUGAAGGAUGACGGCCCUAGGGGUUGUAAACUUCUUUUAUAUGGGAAUAAAAUGUUCCACGUGUGGGAUUUUGUAUGUACCAUAUGAAUAAGGAUCGGCUAACUCUGUGCCAGCAGCCGCGGUAAUACGGAGGAUCUGAGCGUUAUCCGGGUUUAUUGGGUUUAAAGGGAGCGUAGGUGGAUUGUUAAGUCAGUUGUGAAAGUUCGGGGCUCAACCGUAAAAUUGCAGUUGAAACUGGCAGUCUUGAGUACAGGAGAGGUGGGCGGAAUUCGUGGUGUAGCGGUGAAAUGCUUAGAUAUCACGAAGAACACCAGUUGCGAAGGCAGCUCGCUGGACUGCAACUGACACUGAGGCUCGAAAGUGUGGGUAUCAAACAGGAUUAGAUACCCCUGUAGUC